UACGGGGGGGGCAAGCGUUGUUCGGAAUUACUGGGCGUAAAGGGUCUGUAGGUGGCCAACUAAGUCAGACGUGAAAUCCCUCAGCUUAACCGGGGAACUGCGUCUGAUACUGGUUGGCUUGAGUGCAGGAGAGGAAUGCGGAAUUCCAGGUGUAGCGGUGAAAUGCGUAGAUAUCAGGAGGAACACCGGUGGCGAAGGCGGAUCUCUGGGCCUUACCUGACGCUCAGGCACGAAAGCUAGGGGAGCGAACAGG
rnacentral:rRNA from 1 species